AUCGCUUCUCGGCCUUUUGGCUAAGAUCAAGUGCAAUCUUUAGCACCAUGUAAAAAUUACUGAAUGAAAUAAAGGUAUUAAAAAUAAUUUAAGGGCUGGAUUGUGGCUCAGAGGUACAGCACUUGCCUACAAUGUGUGAGGUACUGGGUUUGAUUCUCAGCACCACAUAAAAAAU
rnacentral:snRNA from 1 species